ensembl:lncRNA
UUUUGGCAUGCCAUAUCCAUGUUCUCAUAUUCCCUCAAGUAAUAAAACCCUGAGUUUUAGCUGGGUGUAUUUCCAGGGGAAGUGUGGCCAUAUAACUAAGUUCUGGCCAAUAGAAUGUGAGCAGAAGUGGCAUAUGCAAUUUCUGGGUUGUGCCCCUUAAAGUGGAAAGUGUGCCUUUUAUUCUACUCCUUCUUCACCCAUCUUGGUGCCUGGAACUUGGACUUGGUGACAAGCCAUGUAGAACCAAGCAGAUGAGGUUAAUAUUCUAGGGACACCGGUGGAACUAUAGGAUGGAAGGAGCCAACAUAUCAAAAUUAUGUGAGAAAUGAAUCAGACUGCUAAAUGAGAAAUAAAAUUCUAUGUUGUUUAAAGCCCUGUACGUCUUUGUUAAAGCAGCUUAAUCUGUAUCCUAAUUGAAACACCUCACAAUUUUAAUUUCAAUUGUAUUGCAUUUAGAAUUUAUGCUUUUCUUACUAAUUGCUAUUUCAUUUUCAUUAGUUGUUACAGAGUAUGUAAGUCAAGGAGCAAUCAAACAUUCCAAGAAAUAUACACAUUUCUGUAUAAAGAGGAAUGAUAAAUUUGCUAAAAUUGAUGGCCAUUAACAUCACGCAAUAGUUCAAAAUGAUCAUUUUAUUGGCUAAUUAUAAAAAUCCAAAUCCAGUGAACAAACCCUGUUCUCAAGGUUAUGUACAAUGCCAUCUACUCAUAAAGAACAUUAAUGUAAUCUGUUAGGGGAAGUGCACCUGAACAUUGAACUUGGUUCUUUUUGGAGCAGCUAGGGCAAAAGCUAGAAGUAUUCCAAUAAUUCAUGAUAAGCAAACAAUUUCCAGUUGCUAAAUCCUCUUAGCAGAUGUAAAUGAAUUAUUCUAAAUCUAUAUUUAACAACAUUUGACCCUCAGUUUUAAAGUUGGCUAAGAAUAGUUUGUUCAGAAGAGAUAAUGGACACAUUUAAAACUUUCUGAUAUGCACUUGGAUUGUUCUAACUAUGAACAAUUUUAGAAAGUAGAUUGCUAUUAGAUGCAAAUUUCCACACAUAAAUAAGUCAGCUAGAGAACUAAGUGAGAAAGCAAGUUUUGAGUCAUUUCUCUUAGAAUUCUAAAGACAAGGAAGCAGUCAGGAAAGGAGAAAUAAUUUUAAAUAAAGAGCCCUAGUGCCUAGAAGUUUUACUUCACUGUCAUGUUCAAUAUGACCAUAAUUUCUUUUCUACUGUGGCUACCACAUAUAAAAGACAGUGAAGAUAGAAGUAGCAUUAGAAGAGGAGAAGAAAUGUGUGUUUCUAGUCUGUCUAACUUUCUUUGGGCUACCAAGAUUGAGCGAGAGUGGUAAGUCAGAAAACAGAAGCCCUAAAUGUUGCUGAAAGAAAAAGAAAUCACACGGCCUUCAGAGAACCUUUAGGGAGCAUCUGGGAGAGGCUAUGAGGACUUUCAGUUUCACAAACCAUGAAUAAGUCCUAAGAGUCAUCUCAUUUCAAAAUGAAGAUUUGUAGCAAUAAAUUAACUUCUCUCAACUUAGCUAUUUUCACUAAUGGAAGUGAUGCCCAUGUCACAUGAACCAAUCACAGAACGUCAGUCAUCUAUCCCAGAUCUUAUCCUGUGUUAAUGGACUGAAUUUUUUCCCCUCCAAAAUAUGCAUGUUGAAGCCCUAACCCGCAAUGUGACUGCAUUUGGAGAUACAGCCUUUAAGGAGGUAAUUUAGGUUAAAUGAGGUCAUAAGGCUGGGCCCUAAUCCAAUAGGACUGGUAUCCUUACAAGAAGAGGAAGAGCCACCACAGAUCUCCCUCUCUCCAUGUACACACAGACAAAAGGCCAUGUGAAGACACAGUGAGAAAGUAGCCAUCUACAAGCCAAGGAGAGGGGCCUCAGGAGAAAUCAACCCUGUCAGUACCUUGAUUUUAGACUUCCAGUCACCAAAGCUGUGAGAAAAUAAACUUUUGUUGUUUAAACCACCAGUCUGUGGUAUUCUGUAAUGGCAGCCCAAGCUAACUAAGACAUCCUGUUACUCUUGUCCCCGCCCGACAGGCACAAUGCUCUAGCAGCAGCCCUUAGCUGCAGUCAAGUAAACGUCUCCAAAGACACAUCGCUUCUUUUCUAUUCCAAACUUUUGCUCAUGUUACUCCUCAUUAUCACUAUAUCUGACUGUUUUGAUAAAGAGCACCAUUAUUUCUUAAAGUAUAACAGUAGGCAAAGUUAGUUAAUCUCUCUCUCUCAGAUCUUCCUGCCUAUGAUUGAAGCCUAUUUGGAAGAGGAGGCUACAACUAAAGCACUAAUGGGGGUUUUCUUACUCUGAUUGCAGACAGAGCACACACAUGGAACUAAACAACCUCUUCCAACAGGAAUCAUAAAGUAAUUGCUUGCUAAAUUUGCAUUUGUCCAGCACUUUCACAUACAUAGAUUUCAUUUGAUGCUCACAGGAGAAGACUAGGAAGCUGAUAAUUUUCUUGACCAAAACUAGAUAUAACUAUGAAAUAUUAUUUUAAAGUAAUUAGUAUUCAAUAUUAUAAUUUAUUGGUUUUAUUUUUCCAAGAAAAUAAAGUCUUAACAUAUUUAUCUGAAAAAGAUUCUAUCUACCAAAAAUGUCCUUUUUUGGUAAAGGGGAUAGAUUUGUACUGAAGCAAUCAAAGCUCUCACAUAUAUUCACAAAAUGGCUCAUCAAGAUUAAGGAUCCCAGCAUAGACAAAAGAGAUUUCUCCAAAUAGAAACCAUACUUGAUACUUGCAAUUCACUUGCAUCAUAUUCUAAGCAAAAAAAAAACCAAAAAAAAAAGCCCAUUGAGUUCAAGUAAUUCAUCAAAUUUAGGAUAUAAGAGAUGUAGCAAGGCCAAAUUGGAGUAAUAAAUUUACUAACUACUAAAGUUGAUUUUUUUUAGAAUACACUAUCAGUUCUUUUGUCAACUUUUGAGUAUUUCAGGUUACUCAUUUACAUGAGCACUUUGGUCUUUCCCAGCAAGGACACCUGUUUCUUUCCUUUCUGCUCAGCUACCAAAAUAGCUACCCAUUUUUACAGACACUAGGUCUCAAAUGAGGUUUGAGGUCUUAUUUUUUUUCUCUCUUCCAGUAGAUGCCACUUGUCACCUUCUAAAGAAGUUUUCUUUUUAGUAAUAAAGGUUUCACAAGUUUAGAAAUACAUCUUAAAAUUUAACUGGAACCUUAGAAGCCAUUGGUCAUAUUAAUAAAUCACAUGGAUUGGCAUAUCUUAAAAUUUAGUGGUGGCAUUAUUCAGCAAAAUGGGCCUCAAUGAAACACAACACUUAAAUAAAUAUUAUAACUCCUAGGAAGCAUUUCCCAGGGAGGCAUUUUAAAUUUAAGUUAUACUGAUUAAUUAUCAAAAAAAGAUUAUCCUCUUGGGAGAAAUUUUUCUAUGGGUCAAUAAUAAGCUUCUUUUCUAUUUUUCAAAGAUGAAUAAAAACUUACUUUAGAGAGAAGGAAGAAAAUAUUUCAGAAGACAGAAGUUGGCCUCUGAACAAAUUCCUUCUGUGACCGUGCUCACGUGUGAAACCCACGCAAAAUAGUUGCCACUGCUUCAGCUUUACCUGGUACAGACAAUGGGUGAUUUUGUAUGAUUCAGAGUUUAUAUCUCACUUGCAUCAUUACUCACCGUUCAGACUUAAAAUGUCACCAAGACUCAAUGGCUUCUCUGGGCAUAUAGGCACAGUCGUACUAUUCCUUUUCUGUGGUAUUUGAAGUUGUUUAUAUGAUGUGCUGCAUAAUCACCCCAUGGGUAAAGUUUCAACGAAGGAAAAAAAACCAACCUUAUUUUAUUCUGAUUAAAAGGAUAAUAUAGGGGCCGGCCUGGUGGUGCAGCGAUUAAGUGCGCACGUUCCGCUUCGGCGGCCCGGGGUUUGCUGGUUCGGAUCCCAUGCUGUGGUCGGCAUCCCACAUAUAAAGUAGAGGAAGGUGGGCACAGAUGUUAGCUCAGGGCCAAUCUUCCUCAGCAAAAAGAGGAGGAUUGGUUGCAGAUGUUAGCUGAGGGCUAAUCUUCCUCAAAAAAAAAGGAUAAUAUAUUUUCAUAUACAAUAUUCAAACAACUCAUAAAAAUGUAUAGAAAAAAGUAAAAAACACCCCAAAGUCCUAGUUUUUAUAUGUGGCUACUAUAAACUAUUGUUAUGAUUUUGGAGAAUAUCUUCUCAGAUGUCUCUCUAACAAUAUAUAUAUUCUAAAAUUUUAAUGAACCAAUACUAAGUAUGUUAUUUUUGUAACCUGAUUUUUUUCACUUAUCAGUGUGGCUUUCCAUGUCAGUAUAUAAUUGGUAUACAUAGAUAUAUAUCAUAUUCUUUAAUGGCUGCAUAAUAUUCCUAUCCUCGUGUAUGUCACAACGUAUUGAAACAAUCACCUCUUUAGGUUGCUUCCAACUUUUUGAGAUUGUAAACUACAAUGUAAAGACUAUGUGAUUUCAAUUUUGUGUAUUUGUCCAAUUAUUUCUUUGGGGCAAUUUCUUAGCAAUGGACUUUGCUGGAUAAAAAAAUAUCCACAUUUUGAACUUUUGAUUUCUUUUAAAUCUAUAUUCCCAAAUUGCCUUCAGAAAGUUCUGUACCAAUUUACUCUCACCAGCACUGUAUGAGAAUGUCUGUUCCCCCACGGCCUUGCAAACACUGAGUUUUGCCCAUCCUUUCCAACUCUGGCAAUAUAAUAGGUGUAUUAGUCCCAUUGCUGUGUCACAAGUUACCACAAACUUAGCAAAUUAAAAUGUAUAUAGCUCACAGUUUCUGUGAAUCAGGAGUCCAGGUACAGUUUAAUUAUCUAAGAUUUCUCACAAAGCUGAAAUCAAGGCAUGAGCCAGUGCUGGGGUCUCAUGUGAAGGCUCAACUGAGGAAUGAUUCACUUCCAAUCUCACUUACUUGGUUGUUGGCAGGAUUCAGUUCCUUUCGGGUUUUUGGACUGAACAGUUCUCAGCUGGCUGUUGGCCAGAGGCUGCCCUCAGUUCUUGCCACAUGUGCCUCUCCAACAUGGCAACUUGCUCCAUCAAAGCCAUCAAUGAAGAAAGUCUGUUAGCCAGAUCAGAAUCUUUUUUCUGAUCACAGAAAUGACCUUCCCUCACUGCUGAGGUAGUCCGUUCGUUCUUAGAAGCAAGUUACUUAAGGGGACAGAAUUACACAAAGCUGUAAAUAUCAGAAGGCAGGGAUCACUAAGGGCCAUCUUGGAAAAUGCCUACCACAGACCAUCCUCUGGUCCCCAGUGAUUCACAUCACUUUCAUAUGCCAAAUACAUUCAUCUUCUCCUAAGGUCUUCAAGAGUUUCAUCCCAUUAUAGCAUCUGCUCAAAGUUUAGGAUCUCAUCAUCUAAAUUAGGUCCAUGUGAAGAUGAGGCUCCUUAGGUGUAGUUUUGUUAAGUAUGUCUCCUGGAGCACAAUUUAGGGGAAGUGUGAAAGUGAAGAGACAAGUUUUCUUCCUCCUGGAUACCCAACAUACAACGCUGUGACAAGCAAAAGAAAACAACAAUAGACAUUCCCAAAGGGGGGAAAUGGAAGUACGAAGGCAUCAGUGUACCACAGCAAUUCUGAAAUACAAUUCAGCAAAUAUUGGAAGUUCUUUGAUUAGGUUUAAAAGUCUAGGAAUAAUUCUCCGUGGGUCUUGGCUCCACCCUAUGGACUCUUGGUUUCACGUUCUGAGUCUCCACUUCUUUUUCACAAAAGGUAGUACCAGUUUGCAGCUUAGUUUUCUCAGCCUGCCUUCUGCCAGUAGAAGUUUGGAAGUCCAAUACCUUCUUUUCAUUUUGUACUCUCUGUCCCUUUCAGUCCAAAGUGGCAGUGUUUUUGGUGAUACAAUUUUCUCAAAAGUUUUGUCAGCUGUCUAUGAAUUUCACUGAGAUUCAUUGCAUUGGACAAAAACCCCAUCCAAAAAUCUCUUCUAGGUAAAACCUUCUCUACUUUGGGCCCUGUUGAUUUUGCUGAGGAACAAUGCCCUUAAACUUCCUAGAAGGUCUCUGGUUUAAUUAAGAGGUUCCUUGAGGCACACCCUUCAUUUCUUUCAAGGUCCUUUUGUUUGACCGAAUAUUCCGUUCCUUUGAUCUUUCUGAGGUUUUAACAAAAGGCUGUAUAGUCACAUCUUCAGUUUUUUCUCUAUGCCACUUUUCCAGUCAGUGCUUGGAAGCCAUUCUUAGUUUUAGGAUCUUUUCCCAUCUGAAAAGGCUGAAAAUUUUCAAAAUCAUCAGGUCCUGGCUCCUUUUGCUUUACAGUUCUUUCUCUGAAUUUAUUUCUCUCCUCUAACAUUUUACUAUAAAUAUUGAGAAGAAACCUCGUAGCACCUUCAACACUUUUGCUUGGAAAUUUCCAUAACUAUAUAUCUAAAUUCAUCAUCUACACGUUCUGCUUUCCAUAUAAUUGCAGGAGACAUUUGGCUAAAUUUUCUACCAUUACAUAACAAAGAUGUCCCUUCCUCCAAAGAUGCCCCUUCUAAAAACAUGCUCCUCAUUUCCUUUUAAGCCGCACUGGCAUUGUCUUUAACAUCUAUAUGUCUACUGACAGUCUGUUCAAAGCAAUUUAGGCUUUCUCUAUCAACCUCCUCAAAAUUCUUACAGCCUGUGACUACUGCUUGGUUUCAAAGCCACUCCCCCAUUUUUAGGUAUUUAUUAUAGCAGCAUUCCACUACCAGGUACUAAAACCUCAAAAUUGUCUAUUGGUACAUAACAAUAUUACCACAAAUUUAUCAGACUAAAACAAUACAUAUCUAUUAUCUCACAGUUUCUGUGGGUCAGGAACAUGGACACAGCUUAACUGGCUGCUUUGCAUUAGGGUCUCUCAGAAGGUGUCAGCCAGCACUGGGGUCUCAUCUGAUGCUCAACCAGAGAAAGAUGUUUCCAAACUCACAUGGUGGUUGGCAGGAUUCAGUUCUUUCUGGGUUGUCAGACUGAGGGUGUUGCUUUCUUGCUGGCUGCUGGUAGGAGGCCACCCUUAUUUUCUUAGCAUAUGGGCCUCUCCUCAGGGAAGCUUACUGCAUCAAAACCAGCAAGGGAAAGUGAAAAUAGUGUCUAUUAGCAAGGUGGAAGCUACAAUUUUAUGUAACAUAAUCACAGAAGUGACAUCCCAUCGACCUUUUCCAUAUUCUAUUGGUUAGAAGCAAUAUCUCCCAUGCUCAAGGGAAGAGGAUUACACAAGGAUGUAAAUACCAGGAGGCAGGAUAACUGGGGGGCAUGUUAGACUCUUUCCUCCACAAUAUACUGAUGUCUUCAAUUUGGAAUAUUUCUUUGCACCAUUUGUAAAUACCUAUUGUGAUUUUUUAUUCACAUUAACAUCAACUAUUCUUUUAAAUAUGUUCUGAGCAUCUACCAUGUACUAGGUAUAUAGUACAAUGAUGAGCAAAACCAGACACAGUUCCUGUUCCCAUAGUCAGAAGGAGAGAGAACAUCAUAUGAAUAAACAUGAAAUUAAAAUUUUCACAAUUAUACAAAAAUUCAUGGUACUAUGAAAAUAGGUAACACGAGGAAGUGACCUGAUUUACUGGUUGGCACAGCCUCUGGUAGAAAAUGAUGUUUCAUUUGAGACAUGAAGAAUGAGCAGGAAUUAACUAGUAAAAGCAAGCAAAUCAAUUCCAUGCCCAGGGAAGAGUAAGUUCAAGGGACUUGUAUGAAUAGAAAGCAUCAAAGGAUUGAGGAAUGAACAAUAUGAUUGGAACAAAGAAACCAAGAGGUACCUCCAACUCUCAUUUCUCCUCUGGAGUCCACACCCAUGUAUCCACCUGCCUAUUUGAUAUCUUCAUCUGGGUAUUUUUCACUCCUCAAAAUCAUUGCGUAUAAAACCAAGUUACUAAUCUUGCCAAACUUAGUUCUUUCCCAAUACUCCUCACUUUAUUGAAUGGCACCACCAUCUGUCCAGUUGGAAGUAAGAAACCUAGGAGUCAUUGUCGACAAUUCCCUCUUCAAUCUCUCACCAAAAUCUUAAGGAUUUUAUCACUGGUUACAAAACAGUGUUCAUCAUAACCCAGACAUACUAUGUUCUCUCAUGCCACAGGCCUUCACUUUUGCUGGUCCCCAUGCUUGGAAAUUCCUCCCCACCCUUUCCCUUCUCUUCUUAGCAACAUUCUACUCAUCCUUCAAGACUUAAUCUAAACAUACUGCAUUUAAAGUGUUCUACUACCCCUGUGCAGAAAUAAUCCCUCCCUCUUUGGUGAUACCAAAACUUUGUAAAUACCUCCUCAUCUUUGUUACAGGUUGGGUCCUCUGGUAAGCAGACUUUGAGAUAGAUUAACAUAUAAGGAAGUGCUCUUGGAACAAAUGCCAGUGGAAGGAGGAGAAGGAAGUAGGACUGGGCAGAGGGAGAACUGAGCUGAGAUACAGUACAGACAGUCCUCAGCCAAGCCCAGGGAGUGCUCUGGGGCUAGGAUGGUCCUUUAAAUUCGUCCCAAGUUGGGGCAAGAAAGCCAGAGUUCAUACCCCUAGGCUGAUGAAUCACUGGAUGUGGGCUAUCCCUGGAAGAAGACAUGACCUUGGCUGAAAAAGUUUUCCUCAGGAAUCUCCCCAAAAAUCUGAUACCUAAGAGACGACUUCUGGUAAUACUCUGAAAGAUGGGGAAUAAGUC